rnacentral:rRNA from 1 species
CCAGACUCCUACGGGAGGCAGCAGUGGGGAAUAUUGGGCAAUGGGCGCAAGCCUGACCCAGCAACGCCGCGUGAAGGAAGAAGGCUUUCGGGUUGUAAACUUCUUUUAAGGGGGAAGAGCAGAAGACGGUACCCCUUGAAUAAGCCACGGCUAACUACGUGCCAGCAGCCGCGGUAAUACGUAGGGGGCAAGCGUUAUCCGGAUUUACUGGGUGUAAAGGGAGCGUAGACGGCAGCGCAAGUCUGAAGUGAAAUCCCAUGGCUUAACCAUGGAACUGCUUUGGAAACUGUGCAGCUGGAGUGCAGGAGAGGUAAGCGGAAUUCCUAGUGUAGCGGUGAAAUGCGUAGAUAUUAGGAAGAACACCAGUGACGAAGGCGGAUGACUGGACGACAACCGACGGUGAGGCGCGAAAGCGUGGGGAGCAAACAGGAUUAGAUACCCCCGUA